GACGGAGGGUGCAAGCGUUGUCCGGAAUUAUUGGGCGUAAAGAGCUCGUAGGCGGCUUGUCACGUCGGGUGUGAAAGACCGGGGCUUAACUCCGGUUCUGCAUUCGAUACGGGCUAGCUAGAGUGUGGUAGGGGAGAUCGGAAUUCCUGGUGUAGCGGUGAAAUGCGCAGAUAUCAGGAGGAACACCGGUGGCGAAGGCGGAUCUCUGGGCCAUUACUGACGCUGAGGAGCGAAAGCGUGGGGAGCGAACAGG
rnacentral:rRNA from 1 species